UACCAGCACCCCGAGUGGUCGGGACGAUUAUUGGGCCUAAAGCAUCCGUAGCCGGUUCUACAAGUCUUCCGUUAAAUCCACCUGCUUAACAGAUGGGCUGCGGAGGAUACUAUGGAGCUAGGAGGCGGGAGAGGCAAGCGGUACUUAGUGGGUAGGGGUAAAAUCCGUUGAUCCACUGAAGACCACCAGUGGCGAAGGCGGCUUGCCAGAAUGCGCUCGACGGUGAGGG
rnacentral:rRNA from 1 species